GAUGAACGCUGGCGGCGUGCCUAAUACAUGCAAGUCGAGCGAACGGACGAGAAGCUUGCUUCUCUGAUGUUAGCGGCGGACGGGUGAGUAACACGUGGAUAACCUACCUAUAAGACUGGGAUAACUUCGGGAAACCGGAGCUAAUACCGGAUAAUAUUUUGAUCUGCAUGGUUCAAAAGUAAAAGACGGUCUUGCUGUCACUUAUAGAUGGAUCCGCGCUGCAUUAGCUAGUUGGUAAGGUAACGGCUUACCAAGGCAACGAUGCAUAGCCGACCUGAGAGGGUGAUCGGCCACACUGGAACUGAGACACGGUCCAGACUCCUACGGGAGGCAGCAGUAGGGAAUCUUCCGCAAUGGGCGAAAGCCUGACGGAGCAACGCCGCGUGAGUGAUGAAGGUCUUCGGAUCGUAAAACUCUGUUAUUAGGGAAGAACAUAUGUGUAAGUAACUGUGCACAUCUUGACGGUACCUAAUCAGAAAGCCACGGCUAACUACGUGCCAGCAGCCGCGGUGAUACGUAGGUGGCAAGCGUUAUCCGGAAUUAUUGGGCGUAAAGCGCGCGUAGGCGGUUUUUUAAGUCUGAUGUGAAAGCCCACGGCUCAACCGUGGAGGGUCAUUGGAAACUGGAAAACUUGAGUGCAGAAGAGGAAAGUGGAAUUCCAUGUGUAGCGGUGAAAUGCGCAGAGAUAUGGAGGAACACCAGUGGCGAAGGCGACUUUCUGGUCUGUAACUGACGCUGAUGUGCGAAAGCGUGGGGAUCAAACAGGAUUAGAUACCCUGGUAGUCCACGCCGUAAACGAUGAGUGCUAAGUGUUAGGGGGUUUCCGCCCCUUAGUGCUGCAGCUAACGCAUUAAGCACUCCGCCUGGGGAGUACGACCGCAAGGUUGAAACUCAAAGGAAUUGACGGGGACCCGCACAAGCGGUGGAGCAUGUGGUUUAAUUCGAAGCAACGCGAAGAACCUUACCAAAUCUUGACAUCCUUUGACAACUCUAGAGAUAGAGCCUUCCCCUUCGGGGGACAAAGUGACAGGUGGUGCAUGGUUGUCGUCAGCUCGUGUCGUGAGAUGUUGGGUUAAGUCCCGCAACGAGCGCAACCCUUAAGCUUAGUUGCCAUCAUUAAGUUGGGCACUCUAAGUUGACUGCCGGUGACAAACCGGAGGAAGGUGGGGAUGACGUCAAAUCAUCAUGCCCCUUAUGAUUUGGGCUACACACGUGCUACAAUGGACAAUACAAAGGGCAGCGAAACCGCGAGGUCAAGCAAAUCCCAUAAAGUUGUUCUCAGUUCGGAUUGUAGUCUGCAACUCGACUACAUGAAGCUGGAAUCGCUAGUAAUCGUAGAUCAGCAUGCUACGGUGAAUACGUUCCCGGGUCU
rnacentral:rRNA from 1 species